rnacentral:lncRNA from 1 species
GACGGAGGACUUCCUGCACUACGACCUGCUGCCCACGCUGCUGCACGUCGUCAAGGGCACCGGCAUGUGGGAGUGCGUGGACUUGUACCCGGUGUCCACCUCGCCGGCCGUCGAGGACGGGCUCGAGACGUCCACCCCGCCGGGGCCCGGCGUGAAGCACGUACUCAAGGCCAGCCUCGACGACGACAGAAACGACUACUACGCCAUCGGCACCUACGACGGCGAGACCGAUACC